rnacentral:rRNA from 1 species
AGAGUUUGAUUCUGGCUCAGAACGAACGCUGGCGGCGUGGAUAAGACAUGCAAGUCGAACGAGAGAAUUGCUAGCUUGCUAAUAAUUCUCUAGUGGCGCACGGGUGAGUAACACGUGAGUAACCUGCCCCCAAGAGUGGGAUAGCCCCGGGAAACUGGGAUUAAUACCGCAUAAAAUCGCAAGAUUAAAGCAGCAAUGCGCUUGGGGAUGGGCUCGCGUCCCAUUAGGUAGUUGGUGAGGUAACGGCUCACCAAGGCGAUGACGGGUAGCCGGUCUGAGAGGAUGACCGGCCACACUGGAACUGAGACACGGUCCAGACUCCUACGGGAGGCAGCAGUCGAGAAUCAUUCACAAUGGGGGAAACCCUGAUGGUGCGACGCCGCGUGGGGGAAUGAAGGUCUUCGGAUUGUAAACCCCUGUCAUGUGGGAGCAAAUUAAAAAGAUAGUACCACAAGAGGAAGAGACGGCUAACUCUGUGCCAGCAGCCGCGGUAAUACAGAGGUCUCAAGCGUUGUUCGGAAUCACUGGGCGUAAAGCGUGCGUAGGCGGUUUCGUAAGUCGUGUGUGAAAGGCGGGGGCUCAACCCCCGGACUGCACAUGAUACUGCGAGACUAGAGUAAUGGAGGGGGAACCGGAAUUCUCGGUGUAGCAGUGAAAUGCGUAGAUAUCGAGAGGAACACUCGUGGCGAAGGCGGGUUCCUGGACAUUAACUGACGCUGAGGCACGAAGGCCAGGGGAGCGAAAGGGAUUAGAUACCCCUGUAGUCCUGGCAGUAAACGGUGCACGCUUGGUGUGCGGGGAAUCGACCCCCUGCGUGCCGGAGCUAACGCGUUAAGCGUGCCGCCUGGGGAGUACGGUCGCAAGAUUAAAACUCAAAGAAAUUGACGGGGACCCGCACAAGCGGUGGAUGAUGUGGAUUAAUGCGAUGCAACGCGAAAAACC